CAAGGUGUAGCGCAGUCUGGGAGCGCAUCUGUUUUGGGUACAGAGGGUCAUAGGUUCAAAUCCUGUCACCUUGA
rnacentral:tRNA from 6 species